CCGAAUAAAUAAAAGUAAAGAGGACUGUGAACCUACGGUUUGGAAAAUGCAGAUCCCACUGUAGUCCUCGAUGAGAUCAGCUAUCUACAGUCUAUAUUGAACCUGAAAUGGGUGGAAAGGAGGGUGGUGAGAUUAUAAAAUCCCAAUGAGUAAACAGACAUCAUCAUAAACAUCUAGAGUUGAGUACAUAGAGACAAUAAAGUAAAUCAUCAUAAAUUGGGUUAUACAAUUAGAACACAUCUCGUUCAAAAUACGUAAAAAGGCUUAUGAAUCUCAUAAACAUUUAGGCUUGUGCCAUAAAUCCAUUCUCGGGGACACCUUGGCUGAGGCAUCCUACCGAGACCGCCAAGGCUAUUAAAAUUCACAUUUCACAUAAAUCAUGUUUUUGUUUUGAAAACAUAACCAUUCCUUGGCGUUGGCUGAGUUCUCCCUCACGUGGUGGUUUAGCGUGAAGUGAACCCUAAACUUUACCCCAGGAGAUACCCUACGUGCUUCUCCGUUCGAGGUAAGAAUAUAAUGGGGUUUACCGUGCCCCUCUAAAAGGCUGGUCCACAGAAACCCCCUACUGUAGUGAUUAAUUAAUAUAUAAUCCACCGUAUAAUAAAACUCAAUAACAUGAUUAUGGCAAUUUUGAAAUUCGCAAUUUUUCAAGGAACCAAACAAUUCGCAUUUCAAUACAAUUGCCAACUAGCCAAUCAUGCUCGAUUUAUCAUAAGCCAGUUAAUUUAAACAAUCAAAUUGCCACAAUUAACAGUCUCCGUGUACUCUAUUUUUCAAAAUCACUAUUAAUUUCAAAACAAUUUAUAAUUUAAUUUCAUUGAAACUCAUUUAUUCAUAAAACAUGAAAAUUUAUCUUUUUAAAUUCCUUUUUCCAUAGAAUUCAUGAAAGCAUCUAAAAACCACCCUAGAUAAUUAAAAUGACAGUAAGUUUACUCACAAUGUCUAGAAUGCAGACUUUCGAAGCACUCUGUCUACUGGUCCUCGGAUGCAAUUUCCUUGCCUUUAUCGGAGGACUCACCACCUUGACACAGUACAAAAUCGAGAGUUUCACCAAGUUGGUACUAAAUCAAAAUUAAACUAAUUUAGACUACCAAUGCAUGAUAUGGAAUGCAAAAAUGCACUGGUAACUAUCUAAACCCGGUAUUGGCCUAAUUCGUCUUAUCACCCGAUUAAAUUCCUAACGGGUCCGUUUAAACUCCAAUUUAAUUCUUUUCAGUUUCUAUACCUCAAUUGCACCCAAAUUAACUUAAUGUCCCUCAGUGUGGUGCAAAUUAUCAGUCCCAACAGCAAAUUACGAAAAUACCCCUAGUGGGUAAAAAUUUGUAUUUUUGCUCCGAAAAUUCCCAUUAUUUUUCUAGGCUCAUAAUUCAUUAUUCCUUAACCAAUUCUCCUAGAAUAAAAUCAAACUCAUCCUCACUCACUACAUGGUAAAUUCAGCCAUUAAUGGUUGGGGGAGAAAAUAAAUUCUUUUCUUGUUGUUUUGUUUCUAAAUAUGCUAAACUAACUAAAAACACUAACAUAAAUUAAAAUCAAAUAAAUCCAACAACUUUCUCUCUCCUAACCCAUUUUUUCAGAAUUGAAUUCAUCAUGAAAACAUGUAAUUUAAUCAUGGAAAAUAAAGAGAAAUGCUUGGGAAUAAGAAAACUCAAGCUUAAUAGAAAAAAUCUCACCUUUUUCACUUAAUUUCCUUGAAAAUUCACACUUUUUCUUUGAUUUUCUCUCUCUAGGGUUUUGUUUUUGUUUUCUCUCUCUUCUUGCUGGUUUGGCCGGCCAUGGGGUGGAAG
rnacentral:lncRNA from 1 species